rnacentral:rRNA from 1 species
CCGUCCGCCUUAUCAAGGUUCUCCCAAUGAAGUUCCUCGCAAGGCCCCAAGCUCGUCUCCUGGUCUUUCGCGAAUAAGCAAGUAGACUUUGCGUACAGGCUAAUCCAUUGGAGAUGGAGGAAGGACACGAACCAUCUCAAUACCACCACCCUCGUCCUCGCUCAGAGAAAGAACCAACCUGGACCCGUGUACAAGUCUCCCUGAUCUUGGUCAAUUAGAGGAAGUAAAAGUCGUAACAAGGUUUCCGUAGGUGAACCUGCGGAAGGAUCAUUAACGAGUUUGAAAUCGAGAGCCUGUUGCUGGUGCGGAAACGCACAUCGUGCACGGCUCCCGUGCUCAAUCCAUUUCAACCCCCUUGUGCACCUUAUCGAAGUCAGUAGUCUUUCUCUUUUUGUUUGCCGGUUGUGUGCGGGAACCUCUUUCUGUUCACUUGGCCGGCGAGGAGAAAUAGAGGGUCGAAAGCUUUGACUUUUCUGUUAAACACUUUGUAUGUCUUGUGGAACGUAUUAGCUCCUUUGUAGGGGCGAAAUAAAUACAACUUUCAACAACGGAUCUCUUGGCUCUCGCAUCGAUGAAGAACGCAGCGAAAUGCGAUAAGUAAUGUGAAUUGCAGAAUUCAGUGAAUCAUCGAAUCUUUGAACGCACCUUGCGCCCCUUGGUAUUCCGAGGGGCAUGCCUGUUUGAGUGUCAUGUUAAUCUCAAACCCCUUGUCUUUUUUGUUGACUUGGUCGGUUUGGACUUGGAGGUGUUGCUGGCGUGCGUCGGCUCCUCUUAAUUGCAUUAGCUGGACUUUGGUUCGCAUUUGACGGUGUAAUAGUAAAGUGUUCGCCGGGCGUGCUUGCCUAACGGGUCUGCUUCUAAUCGUCUUCGGACAACUCUGUUCAUUUUGACCUUGACCUCAAAUCAGGUAGGACUACCCGCUGAACUUAAGCAUAUCAAUAAGCGGAGGAAAAGAAACUAACAAGGAUUCCCCUAGUAACUGCGAGUGAAGCGGGAAGAGCUCAAAUUUAAAAUCUGGCGGCUUUCGGUCGUCCGAGUUGUAAUCUGGAGAGGCAUUUUCCGCGUUGGACCGUGUACAAAGUCUCCUGAUCUUGGGCNUUUAGAGGAAGUAAUGGCGCGAGAUCGAGGACAUGAGUUCUGGGCCUUAGAAGAACUUAUGUGAGGAGAUGGAUCACGUCGCAUGGGGCGUCGGUC